rnacentral:rRNA from 1 species
AUUGAACGCUGGCGGCAUGCUUUACACAUGCAAGUCGAACGGUAACAGGCCUUCGGGUGCUGACGAGUGGCGAACGGGUGAGUAAUGCAUCGGGACGUACCCAGAGGUGGGGGAUAACGCAGCGAAAGCUGUGCUAAUACCGCAUGUGAUCUGAGGAUGAAAGCGGGGGACCGCGCAGCAAUGUUUGGCCUCGCGCCUUUGGAGCGGCCGAUGUCGGAUUAGCUAGUUGGUGGGGUAAAGGCCUACCAAGGCGACGAUCCGUAGCUGGUCUGAGAGGACGACCAGCCACACUGGGACUGAGACACGGCCCAGACUCCUAAGGGAGGCAGCAGUGGGGAAUUUUGGACAAUGGGCGCAAGCCUGAUCCAGCAAUGCCGCGUGGGGGAAGAAGGCCUUCGGGUUGUAAACCGCUUUUGGCAGGAACGAAACGGUGUCCGCUAAUACCGGGCGCUAAUGACGGUACCUGCAGAAUAAGCACCGGCUAACUACGUG